GGGCCCGUAGCUCAGCCAGGAGAGAGCGGGGGCCUUCUAAGCCCCAGGUCCCGGGUUCAAAUCCCGGCGGGCCCGCCA
rnacentral:tRNA from 2 species